rnacentral:misc_RNA from 1 species
GUAACAAGGUUUCCGUAGGUGAACCUGCGGAAGGAUCAUUACCGAGUGAGGGCCCUCUGGGUCCAACCUCCCACCCGUGUUUAUUUACCUUAUUGCUUCGGCGGGCCCGCCUUCACUGGCCGCCGGGGGGCUCACGCCCCCGGGCCCGCGCCCGCCGAAGACACCCCGAACUCUGUCUGAAGAAUGAAGUCUGAGUGAAAAUAUAAAUUAUUUAAAACUUUCAACAACGGAUCUCUUGGUUCCGGCAUCGAUGAAGAACGCAGCGAAAUGCGAUACGUAAUGUGAAUUGCAAAUUCAGUGAAUCAUCGAGUCUUUGAACGCACAUUGCGCCCCCUGGUAUUCCGGGGGGCAUGCCUGUCCGAGCGUCAUUGCUGCCCUCAAGCCCGGCUUGUGUGUUGGGCCUCGUCCUCCGAUUCCGGGGGACGGGCCCGAAAGGCAGCGGCGGCACCGCGUCCGGUCCUCGAGCGUAUGGGGCUCUGUCACCCGCUCUGUAGGCCCGGCCGGCGCUUGCCGAUCAACCCAAAUUUUUAUCCAGGUUGACCUCGGAUCAGGUAGGGAUACCCGCUGAACCUAAGCAUAUCA